UCGAUUCCCGGGCCUCGUGUGU
rnacentral:miRNA from 1 species